CCUACGGGUGGCAGCAGUCGAGAAUCAUUCACAAUGGGGGAAACCCUGAUGGUGCGACGCCGCGUGGGGGAAUGCAGGUCUUCGGAUUGUAAACCCCUGUCAUGUGGGAGCAAAUUAAAAAGAUAGUACCACAAGAGGAAGAGACGGCUAACUCUGUGCCAGCAGCCGCGGUAAUACAGAGGUCUCAAGCGUUGUUCGGAAGCACGGGGCGUAAGGCGUGCGGAGGCUGUUUCGUAAGUCGUGUGUGAAAGGCGCGGGCUCAACCCGCGGACGGCACAUGAUACUGCGAGACUAGAGUAAUGGAGGGGGAACCGGAAUUCUCGGUGUAGCAGUGAAAUGCGUAGAUAUCGGGAGGAACACUCGUGGCGAAGGCGGGUUCCUGGACAUUAACUGACGCUGAGGCACGAAGGCCAGGGGAGCGAAAGGGAUUAGAUACCCCAGUAGUC
rnacentral:rRNA from 1 species